CUGGCUCUCACAUUUACUCUGCUCAAUUGGAGUGAGACAGCACUUAUUCGAGGAGAGGAAUGUAGCGUUCCACUGACAGAGCAGCAAGAAUGCAGAAGAAAUCAUUAAAACUUUUUAAAGGAAAAGGUACAGCUGAGCAUGAGGGAGAACGACAUCAAACCGAACAAUGCCGGCUGACAGGAUUUUCUGCUGUGAACAAUGAAGCGUUCUCCAGCCUCCACAACCGGUUCUUGUAAGAUGUGGUCUGUCCUCCAACCUCAGCCUUCCCACAAUAUCUGUGAGAGCUGACGUCUCCUGAAGGCCAUCCAGGUUGGAGGAGGCAGUUAUGAUGACGCUCUCAGUGUUCGUCACCACCAAAGCCUCCUCUGUAUCCUGUCUAGUGUAUUUGUAAGUGUAUUUGUUGAUUUGUUCAGACCCUCAGUCGACUCUCUGAGGUCCAUGAUCGCAAAAUAGAUCAUCAAAGCAUACAUGAAACCUAGGACAACAAUCAUCUAAACCCGGGUUGAAUGGAUGAUAUUUACUGAGUUUAAAUUGUCAGCUUAAACACUUCAGUUUUACUCAUUUUGAACGUAUGAAUGAAUUUUAACGGUCCUGCCUGUAGAUUUCUGAAAUGUUGCACUGUUUGUCUAAUAUUUGUCCUGUUCUGACCAUAAACCACAAAUAAUCUAACACUAACAUUAAAGAGGACAAGUGAGGACAUCAUGAAAUCAGAGACCUUUCAGGUUUUAUUAUGACAUUUUCAUGUUAAGUCACGUAUAAUUCAAAACCGCAGUCUAUAAGCACAUCAGAAAUAAAGAUUUGACAUUUAUUCACCAGUUAUAGAUUUUUUGCUCCAAUUUUACAUUUUAUGUGUCCAAUUUUAGAAGUCAGGUGGAUUUCUAUGUUUCUUAAAGGUAGGGAUUGUAAGAAAUGGAAGAUGCUGUGAAUGGGUGAGAAAUUAUAUUUAAUAUUCACUUGAUAAACAUGUGUGAUGAUAUAUAUGUUCUGUACAAGUGAUUAUGUAUUUAAUCAAGACAUCAUGUAUUAAUUAGUAAGAAAAGGAAUGAGGUGUAUUGCUGCUUUCUUUAUUUUAGAGGAAACUUGGGGUAAAUCCUUAUGUUUACCUUAAAACUGACCUUGUCCUGGACUAAUUGAAGUCUAUUGAAGCAUUUCUCAUCAGCAGCUGAAAAACUCCAAAUAAGAUAACUCU